GGGAGCGUAGCUCAGUUGGAUAGAGUACGUAUAAGUGAGGUUAGUUAUAUCUCGUGCUGCAAAUUUUUCUGUGCUGAUAACACCGUGGUCGUAGGUUCAAGUCCUACCGCUCCCA
rnacentral:tRNA from 1 species